UAUUUUUAGGAGACAACAUCAGAGAAUUCUUACUGAGCCUCCGUUAUUUUCGAAUUUUCAUUGCAUUAUGGAACGUAUUCAUGAUGUUUUGCAUGAUUGUACUGUUUGGUUCAUAGAUAUUCACAUGUGUAAUGUGAUGGAGAAAAGAUGAAUGCUAUAGAUUCAGCACCUUUCCUAAUCUUUCAAAUAUUGGACUGUAAGGUUUGUGGCAAGACUGAAGGCACAGCCAUUCCAAGCGAUGAAGAGAGGGUAUCUACUGCUGAGAGAGAAGUUCAGAAACACCACAUUCCACCUGGCUUUCAUUUUCCAUGUAGAACAGCUUUCAAAUGUUUUAUGAUGUUAGCUGUAGGACCAGAAGUGCCACUGUGUCCUAUUGAAGAACAUCACUGGAGGGGGGGCCUUGAAUGUACUGCUUACUGUUGUAGUAGCCUGCAGAUGGUGAGUGUCCUGGGGUAGAAGACCUUGUUUAAAUGGUGACUUCCUGGUGCUUAUCCAGAUGUACACGUCAUGAACUGCAGUAGCACUAGCUGCCAUGAAACUGUGAUUACCAAAAACGGAAGUUAGUGUUCACUCAUUAAGGAUUAUUUUAUUGGUAUACAUUAGUGUACCUGCAUCAUUCUCUGCAGCAGUGCUUGCUUUUUUCACCUGCCCUCCAUCAGUAGUUCACUAUUUAGAGUUGGAUACAUGUUAAACAAUUUGAUACAUUAUAGUUAAACUUGCUAAGUCGCGGUUCUGACUGAAUAGCGUACUGUCAGAAGCAGUGCCAGACAUACAUAAUGAUAGAAUAACUAUAUCAUCUUUCCUCUCCACGGUAAUCACCAGACCAAAACUGUGGCUUAAACUGUAAAUUCAGACCUGGCAAUCCCUGUGGCCUGCAUACCACAACUUUGUAUAUAGCCAUGUGAGGACCUUAGUUAUAUAUGUUUUAAUUCUUAAUGGUCAGUUGUAUUUUGCAUGUUUUCUUUAAAUCUGAACCCUUUCUGUAAUAAAUGCACCACUGUAAACUUGGCUGAUCUGUAUUUCAGGAUAAUGUUUUGUCUUGCGUUGGUGGUCAUGGUGGGAAAAAGUCUCAAGGGGAAGGUAGUGGGGUUGUUUUUAUAACAUCUGAAUAUAAUUAAUUUAAAAAAAACUACUUACUACUUCAGUUCAAAAAUAAAAUAUUUAGAAAUUACAUCUUAGCUGCAGAAUACUUGAGAAAGUUUGGAAGAGGGGUUCCUGUUUUUUUUUUCCUUAUUGUAUAUAAAGAUCUUUUAAUUAAAAUAUGUUACUGAA